rnacentral:lncRNA from 1 species
AACGACACUUGGCACAGGGUUGAACGUAGCAGUGGGAAGUUCAUGAGGAGGUUCAGGUUGCCAGAAAACGUGAAGAUGGAACAGAUGAAAGCUUCCAUGGAAAAUGGGGUCCUUACUGUUACCGUUCCUAAAGAGGAAGUGAAGAAACCUGAUCACAAAUCCAUUGAGAUUUCUGGUUAAAACAACUUGAAAGGCGUCAAACGUUUUGAUGAACAUUGUUCUUUGCCUGCCUUCAUAUACAUAAAUAUUAAGACUCCAUGCUUGUGAAAUGACAUUAGUGUUGCUAAUGUGAAGGUAUCUUUGCUUUAAUGUAAAUUUCUUCUGCUUAUUGCCAGUUCUAAACAUGUAAUUUCCAAAGGAUACGUUUUCCAUUCCAUCUCGUAGGCCUUUCAAAGUUGGGUUUAGUCCUAUUAAUGUUAAUAACCAGUUCAAAUACAAACUCGAAGUAAAACUGUAAUUUAGAUAACUUAUAUAUUCAGAAGCUCUAACCUUAACGAGUAGGAGAAAAAGAAAUGACGGUCGGCUUAAACUUGUCCAAACAAGCACCAGCUCGCUUAACCUCACUGACUGUCGAUAAAUUCCUGAAAUCCAAGAAAAACCUCUCUAAACCCUCACCAAAGC